UACGAAGGGGGCUAGCGUUGUUCGGAUUUACUGGGCGUAAAGCGCACGUAGGCGGAUUGGUCAGUUAGGGGUGAAAUCCUGGAGCUCAACUCCAGAACUGCCUUUAAUACUGCCAAUCUCGAGUCCGGAAGAGGUAAGUGGAACUCCUAAUGUAGAGGUGGAAUUCGUAGAUAUUAGGAAGAACACCAGUGGCGAAGGCGGCUUACUGGUCCGGUACUGACGCUGAGGUGCGAAAGCGUGGGGAGCAAACAGG
rnacentral:rRNA from 1 species